rnacentral:lncRNA from 1 species
GAGAGACAGAGAGAGACAGAGACAGAGAGACAGAGACAGAGAGAGACAGAGUGAGAGACAGAGAGAGAGAGACAGAGAGAGAGAUUGCUGUUGGAGCUUGCGUGGUGGCCCACGACUUUAAUCCCAGCACUAGGGAGGCAGAAGCACGCAGAUCUCAUCCAGGUCAGCCCGGUCUACAUAGCAGGCUCCUGGUCAGCUGAGGUUAACAGGGAGACCCUGUCUCAACAAAAGUUGUUAUCAAUAACUCUGUGAGUCUAAUUAGUGCUGUUCCUAUUCGAGUAGGUGUGUGGCUAUCCACUGGGGUUUCAUCAAUGUACAACUGCCACACCCCCAAGAAAUGGUGACUCUCCCUCCCAGCAGGCAGCUGCCGCCAGGACUUCCUGUUUGAUGUUUACUUAGCUUUCAGACUCUAUAGGUUUGUGUAUAUCACCAAACUUGGGGGAAUUCACAAAUAGUUACUUCUUCAAAUGCUCUUUCAACCCCACUCUCGGUCUCCUCUUCCUCUGGUCCCGUUAGACGACUCACAGAUGUUGACAGGAUUGAAAUACACAGACUGGAUCACUGAUCAUCAUCAGCUACUUGUAAAGCCAAGGACCAGGGAGGGAGCUACGGGAGGCCAAAGCAAGACCUUGGAAUCAUCUUUUGAUGUUUCUAUCUGGUUGGGCUCGGUUAUUUUUCAUCGUCAUUGAGGCAAGACAUGGAUUCCCUUCCCUCUGGCCGAGACCAUAGAACUGCCUGUUUCUUUCUUCCUGCAACUUCCCUUGAUGUGUGUGCACUUCUGCAUCUGGCUGCAAAAUCCCUCCUGCUUUCUCAUUCGGAGACUACGUGCUUCAGGUCACUGGCAUCAAUUAGUUGUCAGAAUUGUGACUAUUCCAGGCUGCCAGGUACAGGCAGUUCAGCCAUUGAGGAACAGCCAACAGGAUAUACCAAGGCCUAGUCUAGCUGGCCUGAGGUUGAAUCGGCACAGACCCAACUCACCAAAACAGUUCAAGUCGUGGACACGAGAACUUGCCCAAUACGUGUAAGUCAUGUUUGGCAGUGCCCACUGAGUUCUUCAUUGGGAAAGGCUGCCUUCGUUUUAGAUUUUAAGAGCAGCAAGUACUGGCGUACGUGCACCAGUGCGAUGCAAUGCCCUCAGAGGUCAGAGGAAGGCAUCGGAUCCCUUGGAACCUCACUUUUGGAUGGUCGUUAGCCGCCCCUGUGGGUGGUGGGAAUCGUACCUGGGCUCCCGGUCCUCAACCUCUGAGCCAUCUCUCCAGCCCCAUACCAGCAAGUGCUCUUUAACUUCUGAGCGGGUAGGCUAUCCUGAAGAGGCAGA